UCUCCAUUAAUUAUUAUGCAUCUCAUCACCUCCAGCUUCUUCCUACUUCUUCUCGAUCGUAUAUAUAUUAUAGAUAUAUGCAUGUCUUUCCCUCUCAUCUUGUGAUCUCAACCUUAAAUAUUCUGUGCUAGCUGUUCUUGCGUACUGUAAUACGAGAGAGAGAGAGAGAGAGAGAGAGAUCAUGAAGGUCAUGUUGUGGUUUCUUGUACGCUUGUGCUGUGUUUUUCUGCUCUUCCAUGCAGCAUCCUUUGGUCCUGGGAGCAGGACUAUUCAUCUAACGUCUCGUACUUCUGGUCCCGCUCCAGGCGGCCGUGAAGUUGGCCCGGUCAGAGCUGGUUCUCCAUCACCCGUCGGAAAGCCCCCCGGAUCCGGCAGCCCAUGAUCAUCAAUCACACCUAUCUAGCUAGUUCAAUAAAUCAAGCUGCAUGCUAAAUAUAUGUAAUUUAUAUAUAUAUAUAUAUAUAGAUGUUUAAUAAAGAUCAGAUGAUGAAACAGCAGAUCAUAUAGCCAAGCUAUAUGCAGGCUGAGAUCAUUUCUUGUACGAAGCUUAAUUUGCAAUUCUUUCUCUAGUGAGUUAAUUAUUUCUCUCUGCUACUUCUA